UUGGAGCACUUCAUGGUCAGAUAAAUGGUGAUGAGGAGGUCGAAAUAGUUGCAGCUGUGCAUCUCAUGUUCUGCUAUCUAGGAGUGAGAUGCACCAGGAAUGUGGGUUGGACAGGAACUGUUGAUUGCAAAAUUUGGCAUCUCGUCACAUCCAGAGAACUUACCUUCCAUCCAACCCUUUUUAUCCCGGUUGACUUUGGACCUAGGAAUAAAGAGCUUUUAGUCCCGGAUCAAAAAUGAACCACUGACGGGAUCUUUCCAACCAGGACUAAGGCCCACCUUAAUCCCUAUCAUGCUCCCUUCUCCCUCUCUCCACCUUAUCUUCUCCUCCUCUCCUUUUCUCCCUUAUCCUCUCCCGGCCCGCCCUCUCCCUUCCCUCUUGCCACCGCCGCCUCCCCUUCCCUCUCUCAGUCCGCCCCCUCCCCUUCCCACUCACCACCGUAGCCCCC
rnacentral:lncRNA from 1 species